rnacentral:rRNA from 1 species
UACGGGGGGGGCAAGCGUUGUUCGGAAUUACUGGGCGUAAAGAGCUCGUAGGUGGUUUGUCGCGUUGUUCGUGAAAACUCACAGCUCAACUGUGGGCGUGCGGGCGAUACGGGCAGACUAGAGUACUGCAGGGGAGAACGGAAUUCCUGGUGUAGCGGUGAAAUGCGCAGAUAUCAGGAGGAACACCGGUGGCGAAGGCGGUUCUCUGGGCAUUACCUGACGCUGAGGAGCGAAAGUGUGGGGAGCGAACAGG